rnacentral:rRNA from 1 species
GACAGAGGGUGCAAACGUUGUUCGGAUUUACUGGGCGUAAAGCGCGUGUAGGCGGCUUGGCAAGUUGGAUGUGAAAGCCCACGGCUCAACCGUGGAAGCGCAUCCAAAACUGCUUCGCUCGAGUCUCGGAGAGGAAGGUGGAAUGCCUGGUGUAGAGGUGAAAUUCGUAGAUAUCAAGCAGAACACCUGCGGCGAAGGCGGCCUUCUGGACGAUGACUGACGCUGAGACGCGAAAGCGUGGGGAGCAAACAGG